rnacentral:rRNA from 1 species
AUGUGGAUUGAAACUUUGCUUGAUGAGCUACGGAUUGGAAGAACACACGUGUCAUGUUUGUGGUGUGAUAACCUUGGAGCAACAUAUCUUUCUGCAAAUCAUGUGUUUCAUGCAAGGACAAAACACAUAGAGAUUGAUUAUCAUUUUGUUCGAGAAAGAGUUGCACAAAAACUGUUGGAUGUCCAGUUUGUUCCAACAGAAGGUCAAGUUGCAGAUGGAUUCACUAAGCCUCUUCAAGUCAGACAACUACAAGCUUUCAAGUGUAAUCUGAACCUUGACACGUUAAGAUUAAGGGAGGAUGUUAAAGUGUAG